AGUCGAGAGGUGUGUGGCCUGAAGGAGUUGGACUCAUGUGAUUAUACUGAACUGACCCAGAUAACCCAGGAUAAUUCACAUCUCAAGACCCUUAAACUUGAUGACGUCUGCAAAGUCCCUUUUGCCAUAAGGUUAUAUUGGCAUAUGGUCCAGGAAUUAGUGCAGAGCCACAAUCUCAGAAAGAAAAUGAGAGUGGAUAAUGAAGACAGAUCAUCUGGGUGUAAACCUGAGGAUAUUCCAGAAUAUAGAGGUUAGAGAGAUAAGAAAGAAACUAGCAAGGAAACUAAGGAGCAGCCUCUAAGUAGAAGGAAAAGAAUGGUGAGUUGUAAUUGGAGGUGAAGACAGUUUCAAGGGAGGGUAUGUUAAUUGCUGCUGACACAUCAAGGAAGAUGAGGACUGAGCAUUGACCAUUGGAUUUAGCAACAUGGAGUUUUCUGCUGACCUGGACCUGAGCAGUUUUAAUGGAGUGGUGGGGGCAAUGCAUGACAGAAGAGAAUUCAAGACAGAAGGGACUUUUCCAAAAAAAAAAGGUAUACAAAUGGUUAUUGUGCAACGUGGAAAGAUGUUCACCAAUAUUAGUCAUUUAGGAAAUGAAAAUCAAAAGCACAAUGAGUUACCAGUUCACACUCACUCAGAAGGCAAUAAUCAAAGAAAUGGACAAUAGCAAGGGUUGGGAAGGAUAUGGAGAUAUUCUCCCACAUUGCUGGUGGAAUGUAAAAAUGGUGAAGGUGAAGGUGGAAAAACGGAAAUGAAGUAUUGAGAGGGAGAUGGAAUAUAAGAAGCUUUCUGACAGAUAACCCAAUGGAACAAACUGACUGACUGGGCAUCUGAAAUGAGUAAGAAGGAGUCAAAAAUGAGCAAAAUUAUGCUUCUCUGUGGAUGCAAAUCAUAUCUCCAUUACUUACACCCAGGAGAACUUGUAUGAAGUAGUUAACUUCUCUGGAUUUUAGCUUUUUCAUGUGUACAAUGGGGGGUUUAUGCCUCAUAGAGUUGUAGAAACUGCAAAUGAGAGACUUAUGAAAAGCCUACUGAAUGACCUUAUGAAUAAUAAUAUCAUCAGUGGAAGGUGAUUUGAGGAUGUGAUGCUGUUAUCCCUGACAUGGGCAGGAGGGAACUUGGACAAAGACCAAGGAAGAAAAUAUCUCUUCUCUGAAUGUCUUGUCUGCAUUUGAGUGCAAUGUCCUUUAUUCCGUGUCUUCCACCCAAUCAGGGCCCUACUGCCACUUAAGGGGUAAUUUCUCUUUCAAUC
rnacentral:lncRNA from 10 species